AGUGGCGACCGGGUGAGUAACACGUGACUAACCUACUCGAGUGGGGAAUAACCUCGGGAAACCGGGGCUAAUACCGCAUAAUGUCUUCGGACCAAAGGAGCAAUUCGCUUGAAGAGGGGGUCGCGGCCGAUUAGCUAGUUGGUGAGGUAACGGCCCACCAAGGCAAUGAUCGGUAGCCGGCCUGAGAGGGCGCACGGCCACACUGGAACUGAAAUACGGUCCAGACUCCUACGGGAGGCAGCAGUGGGGAAUUUUGCGCAAUGGGGGAAACCCUGACGCAGCAACGCCGCGUGGAGGAUGAAGCCCCUUGGGGUGUAAACUCCUUUCGAUCGGGACGAUUAUGACGGUACCGGAAGAAGAAGCACCGGCUAACUCUGUGCCAGCAGCCGCGGUAAUACAGAGGGUGCAAGCGUUGUUCGGAAUUAUUGGGCGUAAAGGGUGCGUAGGCGGUGCGGUAAGUCUGUUGUGAAAUCUCCGGGCUCAACUCGGAGCCUGCAACGGA
rnacentral:rRNA from 1 species